AUACUUACCUGGCACCUGGCAGGCAGAAACCAUGAUCACAAAGGUGAUUUUCCAAGGAUGAGGCUUAUACAUUGCACCUUGAUGUGCUAACCCCUCAAUUUCCCCAAAUAUAAAAAAAUUCAACUGUAUAAUUUGUGGUUGGGGGACUAUAUCCAUGCUCUCCCCUG